rnacentral:rRNA from 1 species
UACGGGGGAGCAAGCGUUGUUCGGAUUUACUGGGCGUAAAGGGCGCGUAGGCGGUCAGCACAAGUCAGUUGUGAAAUCUCCGAGCUUAACUCGGAACGGUCAACUGAUACUGUGCGACUAGAGUGCGGAAGGGGCAACUGGAAUUCUCGGUGUAGCGGUGAAAUGCGUAGAUAUCGAGAGGAACACCUGCGGCGAAGGCGGGUUGCUGGGCCGACACUGACGCUGAUGCGCGAAAGCCAGGGAGCGAACGGG